AUGCCCUCAAGACUGCUUUAUGUUUGGAAGAGCUGCUGCAGAGCAGUGAUGGGAUCUCUCCUGCUUCUCAUUUCUCUGCAGAUUGUGUGCAGAAGCUUCUCCCUGGAACACACCAUAGAUUUCAUGAUGGCCAUCAAGGACACCUUCCGGAAGGCCAAAGGAAUGCGUGUGCGUGCUGCUGGGAAGUGGAUGAUCACCUUUCUGCAGAUGCAUGGAAAGGACAUCUGUCGGGAUCUUGAUCUUUCACCGAUCAUCUACAUCCUGCGCAGCUGCAUGUCGUCCCUGCAGCACAGCACGAACAUGCCAUUCCUGUGCCAGGCGGUGGCCAUCCUCACCCGCUGUCACACAGACAUCACAAUUGACAGCUUCUUCCACAGGCGUUGAGCCCACAGACAGGUAUUGGCACUCCUGCCUUUGCUAUUGUUGCUGUCCCAGUUGUAGCUUGCC
rnacentral:lncRNA from 7 species